GUUCAACAACUGGAUCUUGAAAAGGUGGAUCUUGCGGAAAAUUUUGAAGCAAAGAAGAAUCAGAGGUAUCUGUUGGGAGUAGAAGAGAUAUUUGGGUCUGCCGAGUGUGGUAACCGUGUAUUAGCUCACCGAGAGCGGUUGGCUCUCGAGAAUGUUCCAAUAGAUUUCUGUCAUGGCGUCAACUUGAUUUGGUCUCGUUUUUCUUGUCGUCUGUCCCACAACCCAACAUGGUGUCAGUUUGGCAAACAUUGUAAAGCAAAAAUCUGGAAAACAAGACGGACAUCAAUUCUGCAUGAAUGAAAGCUGGGCACUUUUUUUCAACCUCCUUUGGAUAAUGAGAAGGAAAUUUGACAACAAUGCAUUAGAAGAAUGUAAAUCUUAUCAUUGAGAGCUAAUCAACCUCCAGUUUAAAUUUGAAUAGUACAAAUGGUUGGACUGACAAAGGUAUAAUUAAAAUUUCCAUUGGUGCAAAAUUAGUUUUGAAAUUAUUUCCUUCAUUCUAAAUUACAUCCCAAAAUUCCUUUGGAGGGCAUUCAUUCACGAGGUAUGUUUUUUUUUUUUUUUUUUUUUUUUUGAAAAUGUACCAGUCAAAUAGAAAAUUUAAUCUUGAAAAUCAGGGUAAAUAUUUUUAUUUUAGUUAUUUAACAUCUUUUGAUGAUGAUGUGUAAUUCAUAUAUUGGAAUAUGGUGGUGAAAAGUUGUUGUAAAAGAACUAUGGCAAUGACGUAGGAGCAAAACCAGGUAUCUCUGUUUGCAGACUUCCUGACAUACUAAAUGUUUUCUUCCACAAAUUCCUCAUCAUAACUUCUGCCAAGUUUCCUUGAUUUUUCUUCACUCUUACAAUUAGCAGAAUACUCUGUACAAGUUUCAUAAAGUCAUAAAAUUGGCUUGCUUCGCUUCAAAAAAAAAAAAAAAGGGGGGGGGGAAUAGGAGCAGCAAUUUUGAAAUACUGCGAUGGAGAUUCUCACUUUGGUCAUCGAUGUACAGCUUCAACAAAACUUUGUUCACACUUUUAACUAAAUUCUUUGUCCAUAACAACACAAUGUUCUCAUAUCAAAGUUGUACUAGGUAGAUUACAGAAUGUUGGUGAAAAACCGAUGGACUAAAAAGUUAAGGGAUAUCUUCCCAUUAUAUACGAUGCAUCACUAUGCAAAAUCUUAGACAUUAUUACUAGCUGUAAGCUGUAUUUAAGCUGUAAGUGGUUGUUCAUAAGAACUUGUCAAUUUAAAAUGCAAUACUCUAAAUUUGAAUUAAAUUUCUUGAGCUUGCAACAUUUUAGGAGAGAUCUUUGACAGGUUUUGAACUAAAAUAUAAGAAAAUAAGAACAGAAAAAAUAUGAGCUAUUUUACCUAAAAAAUUGUUCCAGUUCUCAUAGAUUCACAAAAUGAUUUUACUCGAUGAAAAAUAUUUAUAACUCAUACCUGAGACAAAUCUAUGGAGGCCAGUUUGGAUAAAUUGGUUGCUUUAAAGAGCAACUCAUGCUCAGAUAUAUCCAGUGGCUCUGGCGCCAUUUUGAAAUGUUUUUAAAUCUGUGAAAAGGAGGAAUCUACAUUAGGAAGAGGGUAACAAAAUUCUUUGGGCUUCUUUUAUUCAAGUACCUGCAAUAUGAUGAACAGGUUUUAAAAUUGUUAUAAAAGCAACCUUCCGAAAAUAACACCACUCACUACGAGAUUAAUCGAUAUUUUGCUGACUACUUUUACUUGUGUAAACAGUCUAUAGCAGAUCAUAUAGCCAGUCGUACAGUGCGGAGAGUGAUACAGUAAGAUAACCGCUGAAGUUGACACCUUAAACAGGAGUUUAAAUCCUCUCAAAUAAAGUAUACAAAGAUACAAAGUAUAAGGCAAAAUGCUUUAGUUCUUGAUGAAUUAAUUAUAGGUACCUUAUAUUAAUUAUACAUACCCACUCUAAUCAAUUAAAAACAGAGAGUACACUGUGAACUGAAAAUAAAUAUUCUUGAG
rnacentral:lncRNA from 1 species